rnacentral:lncRNA from 1 species
UUGCAAUGACAUUAGCCUUGGUGAUUUUUUUUUUCCCUCUUAAGCUGUCAGUUGCUGAGUUUUUCUCGUUGCUCUCUCUGGCAGAGGCACAUUUAUUUAUCACACAAGAGGUUGGCUCUGCAAGAAUUCAUGAAACUUCCUUCUGGAGAUGGAAGGAAAACAUCUCCUUCCUAGCCUGUGCCAUCUACCGAAAACCUUUCAAAACCAAAAGCUAGUGACCGUCCUAGUGGACAGAUGUCAUCCAAAGCAGACAUGGAUCAUUUUGUUUGUUGUUCUCGCUAACCCUGCACGACUUUGAACCCCCUCUGUCAAUAAAAGAGACAGGAGCACAAAACCCUUUAAACUUCCUGUUUCCCUCCCAGUGUGCUGACAUUUCAAAGCCCCAUAUGUUUCCCUAAACAAAGCUUCAUGAAAAUAUGUGUUAAAAAAAAACAAAACUGUUUUCAGGUUAUUACAACCCGAAGAGAAGAGAGGCUGCCCAUGGCUGGUCACACAGUUUACAGGAUGCUGGGAUUGUCUCUACCCCUCUUGAUAACAGCAGGCACAUUUGAAAGGUUUAAAACAGAGAUGUGGUUGAAGACCUGUGAUAAAUAUAUGCUUCUUCAUUUAGCCAGAAUGGAAUCAUAUAGUGGGCAGCAGAGACGGCGAGAUUUUAAUCUCAAGCAAAGAGGAGCUUUUUAGAGAUGAAACUUCUUUAAAGCAUCUUAAGGCAAAUGGGGCAGUUGAUAAAGGAAGCUUGUGCUAUAAAAACCGCCAUGGAUAAUGGAACUUCGGCAGGUAUGGUAUUUCCACACAUACUCCCUAAAAUGAACACCAGAUAUGUCACAUCUCUACUGUAAACCUUCAGUGGUUUCCCGUUGUCUUUAGGAUAAAAUCCAGACUCUUCAUGUGGCUUGCCAGGCCCUGUGUGAUGUGACACCUACUGCCUCCUCUAGCCCUGCCUCUCCCCAUUCUCUUCCUCAUUCUCCGCUUCAAAACCUAGGUGCUGGCUACUCUGCUCUGGUGUUUCUGUGUAAAGUGCCCUCUCUCUCACUGCUGGGCCUCUGUGCAUGAUUUUCUUUCUAUCAAGAACAUUUUCCUCUGACCCCUACCUCUUUGGCUUCAGACUUUGAUUUCUUGUGGAAGCGCUUCCUGACCUUCCCAGUUUGGCUUACACACCAUUCUUGUGGGCUCCAACACUUGCACUUCCCCCAUUUCAGUGCUUCUGAACUACACUGUAAUUGCGUGUUUCCUUGUAUGUCUCAACUAGACUUUCAACUCCAUGAAGCUCCAGGGGAACAGAAGCCAAGUCUGUCUCACUUGUACUUGUAUUUUUAGCACCUCGCAUGGAGCCUGGCACAGGGUGGCUUCUCAACAAUUACACUUUAAAUUGAGAUUGAGUCAAAGAAACAAACAAAAUUCAGGAGAGGGAGAAGUUUCUUUGAGUUAGGGGUGUUGGAGGUGGGAAAGAGUAAGGAGUCAAGAAAUACUUCAGGAAAUACAUGGUAUUUCAAUUGGGCCUUUGUCCGGUUAUUUCCCCGUUGUCUCACAGCCCUGCCUGCCCUUCUGUGUCCUGCUUUAUAGAGGCAGGGGUCUGAAAACUACACUUCCCAGAAUCCCUUGCCAGCUGAGCCCAGAGGGAAAUCCAAAGGCAGAAGAAAGAGAACAGUCCUAUUCUGGUUCUGAGAGUGAGGUGGUUGCU